rfam:Homo sapiens chromosome 16, GRCh38 reference primary assembly.
ACCCCACCUGUUUACCAAAAACAUCACCUCUGGCUUCACCAGUAUUAGAGGCACCGCCUGCCCAGUGACAUAUGUUCAACAGCUGCGGUAUCCUGACAUUGUAAAGGUAGCAUAAUCACUUGUUCCCUAAAUAGGGACUUGUAUGAAUGGCCACACAAGGGU